CUUGUGGGAAGUUGGCUCAGACACUUGAAGAGCUGAUCGAGAAGAGUGAUAGAUGGCUGUGCAGCAGCCACAAAGCUGCAACUCCCAGCAUUCCAGAGGAGCUCGAGAGAAGCAGGCCACCCAGUCACAUUUCUCCUCCAAGGGUGCUUAGUGGAAGAACAGCUGAAUGUGCAAGUUCAGAGCAGCAGGGGUGUGGUCAGUAUGAGGUCACACAAACAAUGCCUCAACGGAAUGGAACGCUUCCCGAACAAAAAGUUAUCACUGCUGAUCUCCUGGAGCGCUGUAACACAGGGACCACCGCUCAGAAACUCACCAAUGACCUGCUGCGCAGCCUCUACGACAGAGACUGUCUGGCCUCUCACUCAAUCUUAGGCAUCGUCAACAGCAAGCAAGGGAUGCCUAAACCAGCUCUUCCAGCACAUGAGAUCCAGGCCAUUCUGAGGACAGUGCAGCGGUUCUUCCCCGGAAAGACUGAUUCGGAAAUAAAGGGCUACAUACGACAGAAGCUUCAGAAUGAGGCCAAGAGGCUUCGGAAAAGGCCACACCCAGCUGAUGAUCCAUUGGUGGGCUCAUUUGAGAAGGAGAAAGCAACGUUUGAGCAUUGAGUGUUGACUUUCAUUGGACAUCCCCAGUGAACAUACUUAUUUGAAGAAUUAAACUCAAAUUUAACGACACA
rnacentral:lncRNA from 1 species